rnacentral:rRNA from 1 species
UACGGAGGGUGCGAGCGUUGUUCGGAAUUACUGGGCGUAAAGGGCGUGUAGGCGGUGCUAUAAGUCAGAUGUGAAAGCCCAUGGCUUAACUGUGGAAGAGCAUUUGAAACUGUAGAACUUGAGUAUGGGAGAGGGGAGUGGAAUUCCCGGUGUAGAGGUGAAAUUCGUAGAUAUCGGGAGGAACACCGGUGGCGAAAGCGACUUCCUGGACCAAUACUGACGCUAAGGCGCGAAAGCGUGGGGAG